UACGGGGGGGGCAAGCGUUGUUCGGAAUUACUGGGCGUAAAGGGUCUGUAGGUGGCCAACUAAGUCAGACGUGAAAUCCCUCAGCUUAACUGGGGAACUGCGUCUGAUACUGGAUGGCUUGAGUUUGGGAGAGGGACGCGGAAUUCCAGGUGUAGCGGUGAAAUGCGUAGAUAUCUGGAGGAACACCGGUGGCGAAGGCGGCGUCCUGGACCCAACACUGACACUGAUGAGCGAAAGCCAGGGGAGACAAACGGG
rnacentral:rRNA from 1 species